rnacentral:rRNA from 1 species
UACGGAGGGUGCAAGCGUUAUCCGGAUUCACUGGGUUUAAAGGGUGCGUAGGCGGGCAGGUAAGUCAGUGGUGAAAUCUCAGAGCUUAACUCUGAAACUGCCGUUGAUACUAUCUGUCUUGAAUAUUGUGGAGGUAAGCGGAAUAUGUCAUGUAGCGGUGAAAUGCUUAGAUAUGACAUAGAACACCUAUUGCGAAGGCAGCUUACUACGCAAUCAUUGACGCUGAGGCAACGAAAGCGUGAGGAUCAAAACAGG